rnacentral:tRNA from 3 species
GCUUUAAAAGUUUAAAAAACAUUUAAUUUUGUAAAUUAAAAAUUUAAAGAAAAAUCUUUAUUAAAGCU